ensembl:lncRNA
GUUUGAUGUUUUAAAGACCUAUCAGUGACAACGCAGCAAUACAGAAGAGUCUCUCAGACUACAAAGGAAUCUGGAAGGAUUUGAUAGCUGAGGCUUUUCUUGUCGCAAGAACAAAGGCUUUGGAGGCGACCUGAAGAACACGGGCUUUCAGUGCCAGGGAUGGCAUGGACAACUGUGAGACUGUGAUCAUAGAAUCAGUGCUGUGUAUGGAAUUAAAGAAUAACAGGAGCUGGCAGAAAGGUGCGUGGGCUCAUGUCCCAGGCCUAUGCAGUGCUGGACCUUGGUGACUGUGGAAGGAUGGAGCAGAGCAGUGCUGACCCCAUUGCAGGGACAACACUGUAUCUCUGGGGCUCUUUGGCGUUGGUUCCCUCUCACCAAGCACGGGUCCGUAUUGUGGAGACAAUGAAGAUAGAAGCAAAGGGUGAACGUGGAGACCAACUUCUCCCAUUUCAGGUUGUGCCUUCCAGUAAUUUUCAUAGAAUCACAGAAUGGUUUGAGUUGGAAGGGACCUCUGAAUGCCGUCUGGUCCCACUGCCUGCACUGAGCAGGGACACCCACAGCUCCAUCAGUGCUCAGAGCCCCGUCCAGCCUGACUGUGGGUGUGUGCAGGGAUGGGGCACCGCCACCUCUCUGGGCACCCCGUGCCAUUCCUCACCAUCCUCAGUGUAUUACUGUGCCCUUAUUUUGGGGAUGUUUUCCAGGAAAGCACUGCCUGUCGCUGCCAACCUGGUAGCUCCUCUUCUGCCCUGCUGGGGCUGUUGGCUUAGAAUCAACUUCAUGUGGAAAUUAUUUUUAACAAAUAUUUCUUAUGGAAAUAUUCUAUUUACAGCAUGUGCUAAAAGCAUAAAACGUGAGAAGGCAGAUUUGGGCACUGUAUUAUUAUUAUUUUUUUUUCCUCAAGGACUCAGGGAAUAUUUUGCACAGAUAUUUUAAACAGCUGUUAUAUUUAGCAAGUCUAAGCUUGAUACGAGAAGUAAAUAAAUCAAAGCAGCAAACACAACAGAAGAGAAAGAGAAGCCACAAUGCAGGUUUUGAGCCUGUCCAAAACGCGUGGGUUUGGAAUACAUUUGUAUUUGGAAAUGCAGCAUCUCGGAAGCA